rnacentral:rRNA from 1 species
GGUAGUCCACGCCGUAAACGAUGUCGACUUGGAGGUUGUGCCCCUGAGGCGUGGCUUCCGGAGCUAACGCGUUAAGUCGACCGCCUGGGGAGUACGGCCGCAAGGUUAAAACUCAAAUGAAUUGACGGGGGCCCGCACAAGCGGUGGAGCAUGUGGUUUAAUUCGAUGCAACGCGAAGAACCUUACCUACUCUUGACAUCCAGAGAACUUAGCAGAGAUGCUUUGGUGCCUUCGGGAACUCUGAGACAGGUGCUGCAUGGCUGUCGUCAGCUCGUGUUGUGAAAUGUUGGGUUAAGUCCCGCAACGAGCGCAACCCUUAUCCUUUGUUGCCAGCGGUUAGGCCGGGAACUCAAAGGAGACUGCCAGUGAUAAACUGGAGGAAGGUGGGGAUGACGUCAAGUCAUCAUGGCCCUUACGAGUAGGGCUACACACGUGCUACAAUGGCGCAUACAAAGAGAAGCGACCUCGCGAGAGCAAGCGGACCUCAUAAAGUGCGUCGUAGUCCGGAUUGGAGUCUGCAACUCGACUCCAUGAAGUCGGAAUCGCUAGUAAUCGUAGAUCAGAAUGCUACGGUGAAUACGUUCCCGGGCCUUGUACACACCGCCCGUCACACCAUGGGAGUGGGUUGCAAAAGAAGUAGGUAGCUUAACCUUCGGGAGGGCGCUUACCACUUUGUGAUUCAUGACUGGGGUGAAGUCGUAACAAGGUAACCGUAGGGGAACCUGC